UGUAGAUUAUAAAUCAGAUGUUAGGAGAACAGAGCCGAAAGAUACCCACCUGUAGAUUAUAAAUCAGAUGUUAGGAGAACAGAGCCAGCCCACCUGUAGAUUAUAAAUCAGAUGUUAGGAGAAUAGAGCCUGUAGAUUAUAAAUCAGAUGUUAGGAGAAGAGAGACUAGAUUAUAAAUCAGAUGUUAGGAAAAUAGAGACUGUAGAUUAUAAAUCAGAUGUUAGGAGAAGAGAGACUGUAGAUUAUAAAUCAGAUAUUAGGAGAAUAGAGCCUGUAGAUUAUAAAUCAGAUAUUAGGAAUAGGGCUCUGGUCUAAAGUAGUACCACUAUAUAGGGAAUAGGGCUCUGGUCUAUAGUAGUACCACUAUAUAGGGAAUAGGGCUCUGGUCUAUAGUAGUACCACUAUAUAGGGAAUAGGGCUCUGGUCUAAAGUAGUACCACUAUAUAGGGAAUAGGGCUCUGUUCUAUAGUAGUACCACUAUAUAGGGAAUAGGGC
rnacentral:lncRNA from 1 species